rnacentral:rRNA from 1 species
CAGUCGCGCGGUAAUACAGAGGGUGCGAGCGUUAAUCGGAUUUACUGGGCGUAAAGCGUGCGUAGGCGGCUUCUUAAGUCGGAUGUGAAAUCCCUGAGCUUAACUUAGGAAUUGCAUUCGAUACUGGGAAGCUAGAGUAUGGGAGAGGAUGGUAGAAUUCCAGGUGUAGCGGUGAAAUGCGUAGAGAUCUGGAGGAAUACCGAUGGCGAAGGCAGCCAUCUGGCCUAAUACUGACGCUGAGGUACGAAAGCAUGGGGAGCAAACAGGAUUAGAUACCCCAGUAGUCCCUGUCUCUUAUACC